ACAAAACAAGCAGUGUGUUCAGUUUACUUGUUUGUAGGUCCAUUAAAAGAUGUAUCUUUACAUUUCUAGGAUUUAACUCAGGGCAAUGUAAAAUACUUUAUUAAAAUGUAUUAAUUGCAUACAUUAUAGAAAGAAAUAUCUUUCAGUUUCAUAAGUAUGUAAUGUUGGAUAUGUGUACUGGUCCCAGAUUAACAAUCGCAUUCCUCAUUGGACUCAAUUUAUUUUGUGUGUCUUCUAACUUUAGCUUAUUUAAGAAAUAGUAUAUAGAGCGGGUAUCAAAGUUUUUUAAAGUGUAUUUUUUUAGUCCCUGAACUCAGUGUGAACCCCUCAGCAAGAGGAGAAAAGCAUGAGGCAGACCAUUGCUGGCCUCCAUCAGACUGAGCUGUACUCUUCUAAAGUAGAAAUUCUUACGCAGACAAGUGUACUCAGGUCUUUUGUUCAGAGACAGUGACCGAAAAGGUAGGUCAGAGUUUUAAAUGCAUCUCUUUAGAGGGUAUUCAUACCCAGAGUGCAUCUCUCUUCAGUAGUAGCUAAACAGUAAAAAUCUUAAAGUGGAAAUUAAAGUAUGUAUUCCUUCUGUAAAAUGCUUUGGGACUGACUAAAUAGAUGCAAGCACAAAGCAAAGCCCAGUUUCCCCAUGAAGUUUCUAAAACUGGACAUACGGGUAAGUUUGGAAGCUGGCUGCAAGGUCAGGUAAGUAAAGCAACAUUAUAGUUUGGAAGAAUAUUUCUGCUGCAGUCCAAUACUUGAUUUUUUUUCCUCUUCUAUAAUUUCUUUUUAGCUCAGGUUUUCACCAUCCAUUGGAAGUAGAACACUUGUGCUCUGUAAUGAGUGUAAAUAUCUGUUGAAAUAGCACUUGCACAACACAGAUGUGUGCUGAAUAUGUUUUCCACUAGCUUUCUGUUGCGUAACAGAGAAAUUGGAACUAAAGGGGGGAAAGUAAUUAAAUCCCAUACACAAACUUCUAAGUGGAAAUGAGAAUAGAAUGUUAAGGAGAUACUGCUUAAGAAAGAUGCUUGAGCGUUGCAAUGAUGAGAACAGUAAAUAAUCUAUGCUUGUACAUCUUUCUUAGGUCAGAGCUUUUCUGUAGAGUCUUUCUCACGGUUUUUGGGUUGCGCACAAGUUACAGCUCAAGAUUUGCAGUGCAAACCCUGGCACACUGCAGCACAUGUGUGCAGUAGUCAGUGUUCAGAAUAGGGACCUACGGUGACCCCCAUCAGCCACUCAUUGGAAGUCCUACAUCAAUCUGAUCUUAGUGUUUUCCUAGCAAUCAUAUUUUCAGCUGUGUUCUUGUGGAACAGACUUCCUAAGCAUACUUCAUUUAAAAAGUAAUUUAAACUUCAGUACAGUGGCAUUAACUGACAAUAUUUUUAUUAAUGGUACACAUGAGUAGAAAAUAAUUGAACAGUAAUGAGGACAUUAAUAUCAGUAUUGUGAGCCAUAUACAGUUUAUAUUUUAGUAGAGCAUGUAUCUUCCAUCUUUUAUAAUGUACUUUGCAGAAAUAUAGAAUGUGAUUAUGCUUUUUUAGUGUGUAGACUUGCAGUUAUUGUUGCAUUAAGUUGUUUUGCAGCUUGUCCUGCUAUGUUUAAUACAGCUGACUAUAUUACUAUUUAAAUUUUUUCUCAAAAGGCAUAAAAAGCACAAUUGUUUAUAAAACAAAGUAUGAAAAUCUCUGUUUUGCUGUAUUUUACUCAAUGGUGCAGUAUAAAUUUGCUGCAGGAGAAUGAAGCUUAUGAUGGAAGAGUAAUGUAACUUCUGCACAGCUAUAGUAGAUGAGUAUGUCUGAUAAGUGUCAAGAUCUGCCUCUUUAACCAAGGACUCAAGAAGGAAGCUAAGGGAAGAAAGGUGGCUCACAACUUGUAUAUUAAAGCUCACAUUUAAAACUAGUGACAAAGAUUUAAAAGUAUUAUCAACUCAAGGUUAAAAUACAAGUAAAAAGUCCUAUCUUUCCUUAACCUUAUUUAAUAAUUUAGGUUUCCCUAUGUAUUUUUUCAUUUCACCUUUUCAUGCCCUGCUUUCCCUUUAUAUACUGUAGACAACUCUUGGCUAGUUUUUAAUUUUCAAGCUGUGUUUCUUGGAGGUACUUGAUAAUAAAUCACAACAGUGUGUUUCUUUCCAUUUACUGCAUGAAAGAGGGCACAUCAUUUCUGAGUUGAAUGAUAAGUCAGGUUGCCACAAAUGCUUUGGCAUAAGACCUUGACAUUCAUUCCUUCUCCACAGGUAUUUAUGUCAGGGAAACUCAUUUAUUUGAACACUCAUGGAAAGUAAAUACAAGAAGUGUCCCAGUAUGACUAAGGCAAAUUCACUGGAAAAUAGAAGAAGAAAAAAGAUGGAAUGAAAGCUGUCCAGGGCGGCUUAUUUGUUACAGUUGUGUAUUCAGUUUGAAAGCAGAAGGACUUCUAAGGGCAAAGCCUUUGUUUUGUGACUUGACUCAAGUCUCUGGGUAAUAAUGACUUCCUUCAGAGAUUUCUGUUGGAUGUGGGUUAUCUGGACACCAGCAAACUUAAACAUCAGUAGACCUCAGGGAACAGGAAAAAUAU